rnacentral:rRNA from 1 species
UAUUUAUGUAAAAGAUAUUGAAAUUGAUUUUGUUUCAUUAAAUUGGUUAUAUUGGAUAGUUUUAUAUACUAGUUUUUGCGCGAUAUUUAUUUUAGUCUAAAAGAUUAAAUAUAUUUUUAUUAUUUGUAGUUUUUAAUAUUGGUGUCAAUAAAUUUAUUUAGACCCAGCUAAUUUAUUUUAGAAUUGUAUAAUUCUGUGCCAGCAUACGCGAUUACACAUUUAAUUCUAAUCAAUUAUUUU